rnacentral:rRNA from 1 species
CGCCAGUCCUAUGGGAGGCAGCAGUGGGGAAUAUUGGGCAAUGGAGGGAACUCUGACCCAGCGACGCCGCGUGCGGGAUGAAGGCCUUCGGGUUGUAAACCGCUUUCAGCAAGGAAGAAGCGAAAGUGACGGUACUUGCAGAAGAAGCACCGGCUAACUAUGUGCCAGCAGCCGCGGUAAUACAUAGGGUGCAAGCGUUGUCCGGAAUUAUUGGGCGUAAAGAGCUCGUAGGUGGUUCGUCACGUCGGAUGUGAAAAUCUGGGGCUUAACCCCAGACCUGCAUUCGAUACGGGCGAGCUAGAGUGUGGUAGGGGAGACUGGAAUUCCUGGUGUAGCGGUGGAAUGCGCAGAUAUCAGGAGGAACACCAAUGGCGAAGGCAGGUCUCUGGGCCAUUACUGACACUGAGGAGCGAAAGCGUGGGGAGCGAA